rnacentral:lncRNA from 1 species
UUUUUUUGUUGGAUUCUUAAGAUGGUAUCAGAACAACUCAAAUUGAGAGCACUGCUACACAUUCAUCUUCCUCUGUUUAUCCGACUAGAUGGACUUGAAGUCCUCUCAUGUUUCUUCUGUUCUUGCUGACCUUGUAAUACCUAACAAGUCAAGACUAAAAAUGCAAUCUAGUUUACUUACUUAUUCCCAGCAAGAUUACCAGUUUCCUGCAAGCUUGCAGCAUAUUUCUCUGCCAAAUUUUGAACCUCUAACGAUGCACAUAGCCAAGCG